rnacentral:lncRNA from 1 species
AUGGACUACUGCUAUCACAUCAUCUGCUUUCUGCUUGCACUUAUGCCCCUCUGUAAGUUGCUUAGGUAUCCACCUGGAACACAUUUUACUGAAUAUAAGGCUGUCAUGAAUCAGGGCAUAAGCAGAUCUAACACUCAGAUUCAGCUUUCCUGCAUCCUCUUUGACUGUUCUUUUCCCCCUGUUUUUGCAAAUCAGUUCCAUACUCUAGAAACUUCGUUAUUGUGGCUGCCACAAACUAUGUUGAAUUGGUAGAAACUCCGAGAUAUUCAUUGAAAACUACAGAAAAAUAUAAUGCAGGAUAUCACGCAAAAACAAAGUUUUUGUAGUUUAAUAAACCUUUUUGAUGUUUUUAUGAUAGAACCAAUUAGAAAAUGACAGUUAUUAAACAGGAACAAAUAUCAUGCUAUUUGGUGUUAUUAGCUGCUGCAACUGCUACUGUUCCUCUCAACAAACUGGAUUGUAGCACAUUUCCCACUGCAUUUAACUUUGCUAAGUAUCUUUGUGCUCAUUUCCAUCCAUGUGUCAAUCAUUACUUCCUAAAACUUCUCCUACAGCAAACCAAUUAAGCUCAAAGCAAUUCUUCUCCAUUCCCACCCCUUUGGGGAUUUCACUUUGCCCUAAUACAGCUGUUUAGAAAAGUUUUUCCUCUCUCUUUCACCAAGUCCAUCUAUUUUCUCCUAGUUAUUGUAGUAUCAUGUAUAGUAUGGUAUAUUGAAUAAAUCCCCUUUCUCCUUGUUAAAAUAUCUAUAGGCUUUUAUGAUCUCCCUCAGAGAGCUCUAAACCAAGAUAUAAUACCUGGGGCUCUUAAUCCUUCCUCAUAAAUUCAGUCCUUAGCUCCAUUAUCCAUGUUUAUUCUUCCAGUUUUCACACGUCUCUCUCUCUCUCUCCCCCCCCCCCCCAUAUUUACCAAGAAUACCUGGGAACUGUUUUUCUUACAUCUCACACAUUUGCAAGUUCUCACUGUAAUUACUCACAGUAUUAACUGUGAGUGCUUUUGCAUAUCUUUUUCAUUUUUUAGAGAAGUUUCCCUCCCACCGCACUUUAGGGGAAGAGCUCUAGAUCACACAAAAAAGCCAAAAUACAUAACAGCCUGAAGGUUUUCUAUCACCACAGACUCAAAUAUAUGCUGAAGUGUAACUCUGCCUGUGGCCAAGUUCACAAUGGAGCCUUUCCUCCAAAUGCCUCAAUAUAUAACAAAUAUUAACAUGAAAUGAAACCUUUUCAGUUAUACAACCUUAAUUACAGAAUAAUCUCCUUAGUGAGAUUUGAUGAACACCAACACCACUAUUCUGGUCCCUUUUUGAAAGGUUUCAAUGUACUU